CGCCAGACUCCUACGGGAGGCAGCAGUGGGGAAUAUUGCACAAUGGGGGAAACCCUGAUGCAGCGACGCCGCGUGAGCGAUGAAGUAUUUCGGUAUGUAAAGCUCUAUCAGCAGGGAAGAAAAUGACGGUACCUGACUAAGAAGCCCCGGCUAACUACGUGCCAGCAGCCGCGGUAAUACGUAGGGGGCAAGCGUUAUCCGGAUUUACUGGGUGUAAAGGGAGCGUAGACGGCUGUGCAAGCCAGAUGUGAAAGCCCGGGGCUCAACCCCGGGACUGCAUUUGGAACUGUGUGGCUGGAGUGUCGGAGAGGCAGGCGGAAUUCCUAGUGUAGUGGUGAAAUGCGUAGAUAUUAGGAGGAACACCAGUGGCGAAGGCGGCCUGCUGGACGAUGACUGACGUUGAGGCUCGAAAGCGUGGGGAGCAAACAGGAUUAGAUACCCGAGUA
rnacentral:rRNA from 1 species